CAAAGGCUGUGAGGAAGAGGCCUCCCUUGCUGGAGGACCACUGCACCUUAGGAGGAUGGUUAUGUGUCCGAACGGAGCUGGUCCCAGAGCUUUACCUGAUUGUACCGGCAGAUAAAUGACCAUAGGAGCCACUUGCCGCUGAACUGCUUCUGGAGUUGUUGAUAUACGCCACGAGAGAGUUUGGGGAGGUCCUGAUCAUCGUCUGGAGAUCAAUGCUGGCAUCAGACAGUGAGCUGGUUCAGCCAUUGGUUCCCAUUAAUUUGUGAAGAGAAGAAGUCCUGAUGUCUAACAGACACAUGGGUUUUAGCAUAACCAAAGUGGGCAUCCCUCCCUGCUGCACACAGAUGGAGACUGUUUUACCUUCAAUUUCUUCCCCUUGAAUACAAGUGAGAGAUGGGAAAACUUAUUCUCAACCAGGUCCAGAAAAAAGUGAUGGGCCAAAGCCUGCACAAUGAAACCAGACAACUCCAAGAGAGACUGUAUUGUUGCCUCCUCUGGUGUGCGAUAAUAUUUCCAGCCAAGUACUUAUACCGCAUGCCCAGGAUAGGUGAUGGCUCUUCCUGCACCAAUUUGCUCUGCAUCUACCUCUCAUCGUCAAUGAACACCUAUUAAAGCCAGCAGAUGCUUUCCAUUGAUUCCUUUGGCUUUGGUACAUGGAAUAAUUAGGAAUUUAAAAGCUGACCUACCAACACCCUUGUUUGGGAUAUCCUGAGUUUGAGAUAUCUCGACUUCAUUUUCAAACUAAUUCUUUCCUACUUGGAAAAGGUGCUACAUUUAUACGCUCAGCUUUUGGGCAUAGCAACAGCUUGGGUUUUAUUUAUUUGGAGUAUAUGAAGCAAAUUAGCACCAAAAGGAAGAAACAUAAUUUUCUUUUUGUUUUUGGAAAGGCUAAAGAUACCUUCUUAGAAAUCAAAACUAUUUCAGAUCUCAAGCAAUAACAAAAAUAUCCUUUGGGCUGAAUUAACACUCAGGAAAGCCUAAGGCAAAAGACUGUCCAAUCUCUCUUUGUGUUAGGAGGAGAUUAAAGUGGAAAUGUGAACUGGUGAAUGGAAAGGUGCAAUAAAGGUUAACCCAAAGCUCUGAGCAUGGUCAUAGUGUU